rnacentral:rRNA from 1 species
GAUGAACGCUGGCGGCGUGCCUAAUACAUGCAAGUCGAGCGAACAGAUGAGGAGCUUGCUCCGCUGACGUUAGCGGCGGACGGGUGAGUAACACGUGUAUAACCUACCUAUAAGACUGGGAUAACUUCGGGAAACCGGAGCUAAUACCGUAUAAUAUAUUGAACCGCAUGGUUGAAUAGUGAAAUACGGUUUUGCUGGCACUUAUAGAUGGAUCCGCGCCGCAUUAGCUAGUUGGUAAGGUAACGGCUUACCAAGGCAACGAUGCGUAGCCGACCUGAGAGGGUGAUCGGCCACACUGGAACUGAGACACGGUCCAGACUCCUACGGGAGGCAGCAGUAGGGAAUCUUCCGCAAUGGGCGAAAGCCUGACGGAGCAACGCCGCGUGAGUGAUGAAGGUCUUCGGAUCGUAAAACUCUGUUAUUAGGGAAGAACAAAUGUGUAAGUAACUAUGCACGUCUUGACGGUACCUAAUCAGAAAGCCACGGCUAACUACGUG